rnacentral:rRNA from 1 species
CUACGUGCCAGCAGCCGCGGUAAUACGUAGGUCCCGAGCGUUGUCCGGAUUUAUUGGGCGUAAAGCGAGCGCAGGCGGUUAGAUAAGUCUGAAGUUAAAGGCUGUGGCUUAACCAUAGUACGCUUUGGAAACUGUUUAACUUGAGUGCAAGAGGGGAGAGUGGAAUUCCAUGUGUAGCGGUGAAAUGCGUAGAUAUAUGGAGGAACACCGGUGGCGAAAGCGGCUCUCUGGUCUGUAACUGACGCUGAGGCUCGAAAGCGUGGGGAGCGAACAGGAUUAGAUACCCUGGUAGUCCACGCCGUAAACGAUGAGUGCUAGGUGUUGGAUCCUUUCCGGGAUUCAGUGCCGCAGCUAACGCAUUAAGCACUCCGCCUGGGGAGUACGACCGCAAGGUUGAAACUCAAAGGAAUUGACGGGGGCCCGCACAAGCGGUGGAGCAUGUGGUUUAAUUCGAAGCAACGCGAAGAACCUUACCAGGUCUUGACAUCCCGAUGCUAUUUCUAGAGAUAGAAAGUUA